AGAUCAAGUGAUGAGAAAAAAAAACUGCAACAAUAUGAUAGAUUGAUUAUCAAGUCUUUCAUGAUUCUUUGUAUUUAAGUCUCUGA